rnacentral:rRNA from 1 species
AGCGAACGCUGGCGGCAGGCUUAACACAUGCAAGUCGAGCGGGCGUAGCAAUACGUCAGCGGCAGACGGGUGAGUAACGCGUGGGAACGUACCUUUUGGUUCGGAACAACACAGGGAAACUUGUGCUAAUACCGGAUAAGCCCUUACGGGGAAAGAUUUAUCGCCAAAAGAUCGGCCCGCGUCUGAUUAGCUAGUUGGUGAGGUAACGGCUCACCAAGGCGACGAUCAGUAGCUGGUCNGAGAGGAUGAUCA